GACGAACGCUGGCGGCGUGCUUAACACAUGCAAGUCGAACGGAAAGGCCCUGCUUUUGUGGGGUGCUCGAGUGGCGAACGGGUGAGUAACACGUGAGUAACCUGCCCUUGACUUUGGGAUAACUUCAGGAAACUGGGGCUAAUACCGGAUAGGAGCUCCUGCUGCAUGGUGGGGGUUGGAAAGUUCCGGCGGUUGGGGAUGGACUCGCGGCUUAUCAGCUUGUUGGUGGGGUAGUGGCUUACCUAGGCUUUGACGGGUAGCCGGCCUGAGAGGGUGACCGGCCACAUUGGGACUGAGAUACGGCCCAGACUCCUACGGGAGGCAGCAGUGGGGAAUAUUGCACAAUGGGCGGAAGCCUGAUGCAGCAACGCCGCGUGCGGGAUGACGGCCUUCGGGUUGUAAACCGCUUUCGCCUGUGACGAAGCGUGAGUGACGGUAAUGGGUAAAGAAGCACCGGCUAACUACGUG
rnacentral:rRNA from 1 species